ensembl:lncRNA
CGCCUUAAUUUUCCAACUAUAAAGUAAGUAUUAUUUUGAAGGAUAAUUGAAGGUGAUGGGGUUCUGGUCGGGCUGUUGGGCCUCUGUAAAAGCAAUAAGUAUAAAUGUAAAUCAGAAAACAGGGGUGAAUAAAAAUGCAAAGGGAUUAGAUAUGAUGGCAAAUUGUUGAAAAACGUGUUUAAUAUUUUCUUCACCACCUCAGCAUACAUCAAAGGUAAACAGGGACUUCUCUCUUAGUUCAUUCCCAUUCAUCCAGCAUCCAAACACUCAUCAAUACAAAUGAUCAACGGAAAGAUCUCAUCAAUACAAAUGAUCAACAGAAAGAUCUCAUCAACGUAAACGCUUCUUCAGCACCAGAGACAAGAGUUCAGGCACGGUCAGGUUCAGCUUCCCCUCUUUGAUUUGAUGCCAUUUGUUGUUUUUCACACACUCAAGUCUUGCGUGUCGACUCCCUCGCUGUCAGGAGAGGGUGGUGAUGGGAAGGGUGACCUGCCCUGGGGCGGGAUCUGUCAGAGAAAGGCCUGAGCAACGUCUGUCAUCGUCACGGCAACACGGCCUUCCAAUCUACCAGCUGAAUGAGCUCGGGCUCCACGGCGUGGCCAAUAACUCUCUCACUGCCGCCCCCUCAUCUCUCCAGCUGGGACGUCACGUCACGAGGCAGACUCGUCUCUAGCGGAGACGUCACGAGGCAGACAUCUCUAGAAUGUUCCUCAUCCGUGAGAGCAACAAAGAGGUGUUUAGCUGACAACAGUUUGUCUGAUUUGAGACAACAAGCACAGAAUCCGCAGGGAGCUUUACCUGAAGACAACAGGGGCACGUUCAGUCCCGACAAAACAUCAUAAAACAUUUAUUUAAACGGAAAAGGAGGUGCGUUAAAACACCGUUGUGAUACGCAAGCGGUGCAACUACGGCAGCUGAGAAGGCCAUCCUUUCAUUGUCGGGUUAAACACGUGUUUAAUGUUUGCUCAACGCUUUAUUCUGAUCUUGCAUUUGUCGGACCCUAGUUGGAUCCAUUGUUUGUGUUCAGAUUGAAGAUGCCUCAGGCUUUUCUCAGUGACGUGCAGGUAUCACUGUGAUCUCACAACCACAGCUACUGUCAUUGGCCAAUCACCUCACACACCUGUUCUCUCUGGCCAAUCUCUAUGCAUCACUGUGCUCAUUGGCUAAUCACUUCACAAGCCUGCUCUCAUUGGCCAGUUAUAUUAAACUGCUACUUUCAAGGUCCAAUCACUGCUCUCAUUGGCCAGUUUUUCUGUACAGCUGGGGCGUGGUCAAUGUGUUGCUAUGGUUUCCUCAAAAUGGUGAGCAAUUGGCUUUGAUUGGUGGGUGUGUCAGAGGUGUUCACCAAUCAGCAGACAUGUAUACAAUUCCCACUGUGUAAAAAAAAGGCCACACACACGAUGGUUCCAACUAGAGUCCUUUUUUUAAAUGAAAGUCGUAUUUAAAACGAUUUCAUCAGGCAUUAAAUAUUUUUUGAAAAGAACACAGCGAAUAGCCUUCUCAGGUACGCUUGCGUAACACAACCGUGUGUUCAACACUCCACUGUUUCCGUUUAAAUCAAUGCUUCGCCACAUCUCGUCAGGGCUGAAGGCAGGUCAACCAUAGACAGAUCUGAUCUGAUCUGAUUGGCUGAAGGCAGGUCAACCAUAGACGGAUCUGAUCUGAUUGGUAAUCACUAACACCGCUAGUCUUAUUGUCAAAUUACCUGCUGCCCUGUUCUGGUGUCGCGUCUGCAGUUUGACUGGAAACACCCUCUUCAUGCCCCCCCCCCCCAUCGAUGCCACAGUUAAGGUGCCAGUCGCCCCCCCCGAUGCCCCGAUGCCAGUCCUACUGGUGAUUAUCUGAAAGCCUGAACACGGCGGACACAGCGGCUCAACACUGAGGCGGAGCCGAACUCUAAAGCCCCCCCCCCCCACGCCAGGACUGGACGGCUGGACUGCAGACUGACGUCUACUGAAGGGUUUGAUCCCAAGUCCGCUAUCUGUUAGACUGACGAGUAUUAAAGAGAGUAUUUAGUAUUAAAGAGAAAUGCCUGACUAAAAAAAAGAUUCUAACCAACUUCCAAAUUAAGCGUGAGAAAUAGAGACAUUCCCUCGGUUUCAUUCAUAAUUAAAGUGCUUUUAGACAAAAUGGGGCAUACUUUGGAUGUUCACAUUUAUAUCAGAUGGAAGUUUCUAAACUCAAGGGUUCCAUUGUGUCCCAUCAAAACAAUGACAGCGUUCGUCUCUCGUGUGACGCUACCUCAUCAAGCCGCUCAAAAGAAGCUCAGGACUUUAGACAGGCAUGGCGGAGGUCAGGGGUCAGAGAGAGUGCUGAUCCAGGAGCAUGCAGGUCAGAGGUCGAAGGUCAGAGUGAGUGCUGGUCCAGGAGCAUGCAGGUCAUGCUAGGGGUGAGACAGACAUCAUGGCUUAGAGGCUGACGGGGUAGCUGAGGGCAGUCACACAAACACACCUCUCUCUCACACACACACACACACACACACACACCUCUCUCUCUCUCUUUGUCUCUCUCUCACACACACACACACACACACACACACACACACACACACACACACACACACACACACACACACACACAGUCCUGACCACCCAGUCCAACUGUCUCAAACAGAUUGCUUCAUCUGGGUCACACUUUUACAUUUAAAAAAAAAAAAGAAAAAGCUCUCUUUACAGGAGAGCAUGAACAUUUCAUUCCCUAUAGAGACAUAACAUUAAAUUAAAUACACUUAAAUGCCCCCCCACCCCCAUGUGAGCAGGGGCAGAUGCAGAGCGUGAACAGAGAGGAGGUACAGAGACGAGCUCCGUCAAGGAUACGCAACUCAUGCAGGGGAGACCAGAGAGCAGCCCGACCUGGGUCGGAACCGAGAGCAGCCCACCCUGGGUCAGACCCGAGCCCAUCCUGGCUGUUCCCUGUGGAGGCCUGACACCCCCUCUCUAACCACAGAGUAAGGAGGAGAGAGAGGAACCGGGCUGCAGUAACUGUGAUAAAUGAUUGCCAUUUGCAAUACGAUAGCCAUCCAUGUUAAAACAGUGCCCCCAUCUUUAUCAAUCAAGUCAUUGCCUAUUACUUUACAAUAUAGAUUUAUUAAUUAUCUACAGUCCUUUUUAUGCAUGUGUGUGUGUGUGUGUUUUUGCAAUGCAUACACCAUAGGCUCAAUGAUGAAAGUGCAGGGAGAGCUCAGCCAUGUGAAGGUGUGUGUGAGAGGCUCGGUUCCAGAGAGCCCAUGUGAAGGUGUGUGUGUGAGAGGCUCGGUUCCAGAGAGCAGUUGGCUCCAGCCCGAUGGCACCCACCAGCACGUCCUCACGCAGCCGGCUGGGAUCCGGCUGGGUCAAAGGUCACCCGCAGGUGGUGAUCGCCGCCGCCGCCACCAGGCUCGGCUUCCCUCAGAAAGAUCCGGAAGGUCCUUGCAGCUCUACCUGGUGAGC